AUUGAACGCUGGCGGCAUGCCUUACACAUGCAAGUCGAACGGCAGCACGGGAGCAAUCCUGGUGGCGAGUGGCGAACGGGUGAGUAAAGUAUCGGAACGUGCCCAGUCGUGGGGGAUAACGUAGCGACAGUUACGCUAAUACCGCAUACGAUCUAUGGAUGAAAGCGGGGGAUCGCAAGACCUCGCGCGAUUGGAGCGGCCGAUAUCAGAUUAGGUAGUUGGUGGGGUAAAGGCUCACCAAGCCGACGAUCUGUAGCUGGUCUGAGAGGACGACCAGCCACACUGGGACUGAGACACGGCCCAGACUCCUACGGGAGGCAGCAGUGGGGAAUUUUGGACAAUGGGCGAAAGCCUGAUCCAGCCAUGCCGCGUGCAGGAUGAAGGCCUUCGGGUUGUAAACUGCUUUUGUACGGAACGAAAAGGUUUGGCCUAAUAAGCUGAGCUCAUGACGGUACCGUAAGAAUAAGCACCGGCUAACUACGUGCCAGCCGCCGCAGUAAAAC
rnacentral:rRNA from 1 species